GGCCCUCUAGCCCAAUUGGCAGCAGGCAACCCAUUUAAGCUGGGUAAAGUGUCGGUUCGAAUCCGACGAGGGCCA
rnacentral:tRNA from 1 species